rnacentral:rRNA from 1 species
UUAGGUUAAGUUAGGAAGGGCGCAUGGUGGAUGCCUUGGUACUAGGAGCCGAUGAAGGACGGGACUAACACCGAUAUGCCUCGGGGAGCUGUAAGUAAGCUUUGAUCCGGGGAUUUCCGAAUGGGGCAACCCAAUAGUUUUAAUCGACUAUUAUCCGCAUCUGAAUUCAUAGGAUGUGUGAAGGUAAACGUGG